GCGACCGUGAGUAUUCGUUGUAACAAAGAUUGUUAAAAUUUUCACUGCACGGGUGUUAGAUCCGAUCUGAAACCGAUCUUCUGGCGAUGGACUUAGCUGAACUUUGGGCGAUUUUCGGGCCGGGUUUCUCCGGCGCUGUUUUCGGCACCGGCUGGUGGUUUUGGGUCGACGCCGUCGUAUGCAGCUCCAUCCAAGUUCCCUUCCUCCACUACCUUCCCGGUAAAACUAUCUCUCACAAAUAACCCUCCCGGGGUAAAUCUGAUUUAGGGUUUCCGUUUAACGCAGGCAUAUUCGCCUCUCUCGGAGCAUUGAUGUUCAAUUGCGUCAGAAAAGAAGAUAUCGAUUACUCUCCUUAUGACGAAGGCGAAUGGAGGUUUCUUUUCCAUUCCUCUCUUCGUUGACUUGGAAUCAUGUUUUCUUUUCGAAUCAGAAGACUUUGAUAAAAUCGAGCUUUUCGCUGAGAUUAAUGUAUAUGAUGACAAUAAUGUAAUUAAUUAAGAUUUAAAUUUCAACUUGUUAAAAUAAAAAUUUGUAAGCUAAUUUAUUUACCUCUCAUAUUGAAGAACGUCUUCGCAGUUGGUGAGCAAAUAUGUUUGCAAAUGACUGUGCUCCUGCUCAGUAAGUCGACGGUCCUUUGGUUUUCCGCUAAGUCGUCCAACGUCUGUGAAAAUGUCUGGAACCGUAACAUGAUAUGUUGCCCGUUCGCCUCUAUCAUCAUGCCGAGCAGGUCUUCUGUUUUUGGUUUGAACUUCUGCUGAAAAGUAGUACUCGGUAAAGUUUGAAGUUUCUUCAUUGAUCAUCUGUGCGACUAUAGAACCUUCCACCCUACUUAAAUUUUUCACCAUCUUCUUCAAAUGGAACAUAUACCGCUCACACAGAUACAUCCAUCUAUACUGCACAGGACCACCAAGUUACAAUUCUCUUGCCAGGUGAAUAACAAGAUGCUCCAUAACAUCAAAAAAUGAGGGAGGAAAUAUCUUCUCAAGGUUGCACUGAAUCACGGCUAUGUAAUCUUCAGCCAAAUUAUAAUUUGUUUUAAUGCCCAUCAAUCUUGUAGCCAACCAACUGCUCAAAGUACGGUGAGAUUGUGACUGUCGGUGGUUUGGCUUCGUCGACCUCGAACAUGGAUGAAAUCAAUUGGGUUCAUUUGGAUUUUGAAAAUUAAAGGAAAAAACUGAAAGUAAAACCCAGAAAAAUCGAGCUAUUACAUGAUGUUAUGGUUAUCAUCACUCUGUCUGACCGAUCAUGUCCUUUUUGUGUGUGUGUGUCUGCUAACACCGAUCAUCUCCUUCUCUUCAUAUUCCACAAUCUGAUGUUUCUUUUUGGGCUUUACUAGUCUCCUCCAAAUCAUCUAUUGGGUCAAACAAUCAAUUAUAUAUGUACGACCCAUUUCCACAAACUAAGUCUCCAAAAGCUUAUUUUUUGUUGUUUCAAUAUCAUUAAAGUGGCUAGUGGUCUUAUAUUGCUUUUGUAACUCUUACCGUAUAAGUAAGAGGAUAGUUUAAUGAUAAUACAGAUGAUGUAAAUAAGUGAGAGGCUAGUUUUUGUUCUGUAAAAUCGAGCAAUAUUACUGUGUAUAUACAAAUUGAUGACUAAAGAUAAACAUGAAUGCACAAAAUCAAUACAUUUACAUGGGACAUAAAAAUUUAUUUUACAUAAACAUGUAUUAUGCAUAAAAAUUAGUAAUACACAUAUAAAUAGAGCAUAAAAGUACGAAAAAUUCCUCCUCGCGUACUUUCCGAUUUUUUCCCGAUUUUUCAAUAAAUCGCUAGGCUCUAGUAUGCCGCACGCGUAGCGCCUAACGAGUUUCCGAACAAAGAAAAUAAUAAACACUAGAACUUGAUCCGCGCCCCCGCGCGGGUGCUUGAUUUAAUUUUUGUUUAACAUAAACGUGAGCUCACUGAGGCGAGUUGAGCCAAUACGGUUGCCUUCAACGCCAUACCGAUUCUUGACCGCAGAAAGCGUGGUUUAACAUUACGCGGCCGUUGAAACGUGAAAUCGUCUGACCCAAAAAUCGGUCAUUCUACGUUUAUACACAAUCUUCUUCUCUCUUUUCCGACAAGACAACAAAAGUUGUGAUUGCUUUUCCUCAAAUUCACUUAAUCGAAACCAAAUCACCAGAAUCAAGCUCAUCCAUCACUUGCAAAUCCAAAUUGAAGCAGAUUCAGGUUUUUUAUCUUUGUUUCCAAACAGUACUAAAGGUACUUCAGUUUUAAUAAUAUAGAUGUAGGCCAAGUUGGAGUUGAAACUAAUAUAUGAGAUCUUCAGAGACGCUUCGAAAAAACAAAUAUUCAAGGAUCUGAAUCUAAAUAAUAAUUUUACGGAUUCAUAUACUGAAAUUAUAGUUUGGAUAUCCAGAUUCCAAUAUUUUAAAAUCUCGGAAAAAUAAAUAUGUAUGUUAGAACAAAACUAUAUAAAGUAUUUUUUGUUUAACUCAAAAUUUUAUUAAAUCUUUUAUAACGAAACACAUCGUGGAUAACAAAAGCUGGUAGAAAAUGAUAAUAUCUACAGAAACAAUAGCCCAAAAGAAAGAUACAAUAACAGUGAGGUAGGAUAAUACGAAAAAUAAGCAUUAGAGAGCCAUCGAUACUAAAACUGGGAUUGAUGGACUGAACAUAACUCGCAGACACUCCAAAAUAACAUGAGACCGAAGAUAACCAAAGAACCAAUGACCUAGGUAAACCCAACCCUGAAGGGUACACCACCAAGUCCAAACAGGCACAACAUCGGUACAUGCAUGUGUGAGGAUAAACUUAAAUCAACACCAGAGACUGUUGCAAACCGGAGCCGAGACAAAACCAAGUCAAAACCAAACACCUAGGCUCAAGGACACACAUACUUGAAACGCUAAAGGGGAAAACACUAGUGAAUAUUUACAUGUCUUACAUGCGGACACUAGUUAGGCAGAAUAUCAAUCUACAUAGCUCAAACUGGUCAACUCCUCGCAAGAGAAAACAUGCAAAUCAAACCCACUGCUUUGUCUAGAAACGUUCGCCCAAUACAUAGUGGAUAAAAGAGAGGUCGCGUUUCGCCCGAUACACAGUGGACAAAAGAGAGGUCUAGUAGAUACUUCCACAACAACUACACCUCACACUAACGAAUCCAAAAAACUAGAACAAGACGAAAAAACUAAUUGACCAUAACUGUAACUAACCAAUGAGAAACAAAAGCACCACAACCUAAUUCUAAAGCAGCCUUAGCUUGACAACAAAAAUAAUUCUAUAGAUCCUGAUCGUUAAAACCAGUGAGAGAUAUAAACUAACAAAAGGGAAACCUUCGCCCAAAACCACCAUAAACCAUACAAAACAUAUAUGAGAAGUACCGCCAAUCACGGAGAAAAAUUGGCGACUAUGGAAUUUUUUUUUCUUUUCUUUUUUUUCAUGGGUACGGCGGCUUAACUUAGCUAUAUAAAAAUAAUUUAAAAUAACUAAAAUUUUAUGUACUAGAGAAUUGAGCUGAAUGGAUAUGGGCUAUGGGCUAUGGGCUUUUGUCUAAUUGACAUGUCUAAAUUCAAUUCUCAAUCAAAAACCACCAAAACAUUAUCUCUUUAAAUAGGUUUUGGAGUUAAACAGAAAAAAAAGGUUUUCGGAAAAUUAAUAGGGGCGACAGUGAGUAUUCGUUGUAACAAAGAUUGUUAAAAUUUUCACUGCACGGGUGUUAGAUCCGAUCUGAAACCGAUCAUCUAGCGAUGGACUUAGCUGAACUUUGGGCGAUUUUCGGGCCGGGUUUCUCCGGCGCUGUUUUCGGCACCGGCUGGUGGUUUUGGGUCGACGCCGUCGUAUGCAGCUCCAUCCAAGUUCCCUUCCUCCACUACCUUCCCGGUAAAACUAUCUCUCACAAAUAACCCUCCCGGGGUAAAUCUGAUUUAGGGUUUCCGUUUAACGCAGGCAUAUUCGCCUCUCUCGGAGCAUUGAUGUUCAAUUGCGUCAGAAAAGA
rnacentral:lncRNA from 1 species